GCUUCUUGCCUCAUCUCUUUUUGCUCUUUCUUUUCUUUUUCCUUUGCUCUUACACAACUGCACCUUUCUCUCACUCUCUCACCAAAAAUUAUAGACAUCUCUCUCUAAAGAAGAAACUGAAAGAGUAACACUAAAGUUUCCGCUUCAAAGUUUGUGGGUAGCGAGAACGAGAACAUGGACACUUGAGGAGCUCCUCUUGUACAAUCUCAAUCUCUCGCGUCUUCUGUUUUCAGGCCCAUGGAGCUUAAAACCUUACUGGACUUCGUAGCUCACCCUAUUAUAUUUCAGCAUAGGUUCUUUUUGGAAGCAGCGAGAGUAUUAGAGGUGGCAAGGAUUUUAUGAUUCUCGUUUGUUAGAUUGUAUAGUUUUUGUUGUUGUUGUUGUUGUAUAGUAGUUUAGCUCUUUUGUUGUAUAGGAGGAAUUAAGAUGUAUUUGAUCAUUUGAGUACAAAUGUAAUUCGGAACCUUAAUUUGUUUUGAACCCUAGUUGUAUGUCUUUGGGGUUAGGUCUGUAAUAAGAGUUUUGCUAAACAUUUAACUAUGUAAUAUUUACACGGAUACCUGAUGUUUCAGCUAAGUGGUAAUCUUUCCAAGUUCAAAGGAAAUGAAGUUUCAAAGUUUUCAUCAUUUUUAUA